rnacentral:rRNA from 1 species
UACGUAGGGCGCAAGCGUUAAUCGGAAUUACUGGGCGUAAAGCGUGCGCAGGCGGUUUUGUAAGUUUGUCGUGAAAGCCCCGGGCUCAACCUGGGAAUGGCGAUGAAGACUGCAAGGCUUGAAUCUGGCAGAGGGGGGUAGAAUUCCACGUGUAGCAGUGAAAUGCGUAGAGAUGUGGAGGAACACCGAUGGCGAAGGCAGCCCCCUGGGUCAAGAUUGACGCUCAUGCACGAAAGCGUGGGGAGCAAACAGG